rnacentral:tRNA from 1 species
AGCCCGGUGGUGUAGAUAGGCCAAGCAUAGGGGCCUUUGGAGCCCUUGACCCAGGUUCGAAUCCUGGCCGGGCUA